AUGCGCAUGACCUUUCAUCGCACGAAACGCCUUCGACAAGUUUUAUGAACAUAACACCUGCAGGAAGACGUUCUUAACCAAACGUUAAUGGCUUCCAAAGAUCAGUUCUCACCAAACUGGAAACAUUAAUUAAUAAGCAAGAAGAAGCGUUGUCAAUAUUGCGUGCUCUGUUAAGCGUUACGAAAGGUGUAGACGAGCACGAAAUUUUGGAAGAUGCUGUACCUAAUCCCUUAGAUACGGUUGAAGAACUUGAGGACCUAUCCUCUAUUCUUAAUAGAAAAAAGUCCAAAAGAAAGUUGAAGCCUGCCUCAGCGCUCAUAAAGGAUGCAGCGAGGCCAACGUUGAAGAGCAAAUUGCCGAAUUUUUAAAAUAUGCUCCAGGCAAGCAAGGUGGUUCCAGAUUUCAGGUCCAAAAAGGCAACUUAUUGGAAUCGGCUUAAUUAGCAUUUUUGUAAAUAUGUAUAUUAAAACACGCACUGCAAAAUAGAUGAAUUAAAAGUUGAUUAUAAGGAAA